rnacentral:rRNA from 1 species
CUUUACUGUAGCCUGGUAUUGGGUUCGGGCUUUGACUGCGCAGGAUAGGUGGGAGACUGAGAAGUGUGCCUUGCGGGGCACAUAGAGUCAACGGUGAGCUACCACUCUGUCAGAGCUAGAAUUCUAAACUUCACCCGUGAUCCGGGGAAGGAACCGUAUCAGGUGGGCAGUUUGACUGGGGCGGUCGCCUCCUAAAAGGUAACGGAGGCGCGCAAAGGUGUUCUCAGGCUGGUUGGAAAUCAGCCGUAGAGUGUAAAGGCAGAAGAACGCUUGACUGUGAGAGUGACAACUCAAGCAGGGUGGAAACACGGCCUUAGUGAUCCGACGGUAUGCGCGUGGAAGUGCCGUCGCUCAACGGAUAAAAGUUA